rnacentral:rRNA from 1 species
CAGUCGCCGCGGGAAUACGUAGGUGGCAAGCGUUGUCCGGAAUUAUUGGGCGUAAAGGGCUCGCAGGCGGUUUCUUAAGUCUGAUGUGAAAGCCCCCGGCUCAACCGGGGAGGGUCAUUGGAAACUGGGAAACUUGAGUGCAGAAGAGGAGAGUGGAAUUCCACGUGUAGCGGUGAAAUGCGUAGAGAUGUGGAGGAACACCAGUGGCGAAGGCGGCUACCUGGACUGAGACUGACACUGAGGCGCGAGAGCGUGGGGAGCAAACAGGAUUAGAUACCCCUGUAGUCCCUGUCUCUUAUAA